rnacentral:rRNA from 1 species
UACGAAGGGGGCUAGCGUUGCUCGGAAUCACUGGGCGUAAAGGGUGCGUAGGCGGGUCUUUAAGUCAGGGGUGAAAUCCUGGAGCUCAACUCCAGAACUGCCUUUGAUACUGAAGAUCUUGAGUUCGGGAGAGGUGAGUGGAACUGCGAGUGUAGAGGUGAAAUUCGUAGAUAUUCGCAAGAACACCAGUGGCGAAGGCGGCUCACUGGCCCGGUACUGACGCUGAUGCACGAAAGCUAGGGGAGCAAACAGG